rnacentral:rRNA from 1 species
GUAAAAGUCGUAACAAGGUCUCCGUAGGUGAACCUGCGGAGGGAUCAUUACACAAAUAUGAAGGCGGGCUGGAACCUCUCGGGGUUACAGCCUUGCUGAAUUAUUCACCCUUGUCUUUUGCGUACUUCUUGUUUCCUUGGUGGGUUCGCCCACCACUAGGACAAACAUAAACCUUUUGUAAUUGCAAUCAGCGUCAGUAACAAAUUAAUAAUUACAACUUUCAACAACGGAUCUCUUGGUUCUGGCAUCGAUGAAGAACGCAGCGAAAUGCGAUAAGUAGUGUGAAUUGCAGAAUUCAGUGAAUCAUCGAAUCUUUGAACGCACAUUGCGCCCUUUGGUAUUCCAAAGGGCAUGCCUGUUCGAGCGUCAUUUGUACCCUCAAGCUUUGCUUGGUGUUGGGCGUCUUGUCUCUAGCUUUGCUGGAGACUCGCCUUAAAGUAAUUGGCAGCCGGCCUACUGGUUUCGGAGCGCAGCACAAGUCGCACUCUCUAUCAGCAAAGGUCUAGCAUCCAUUAAGCCUUUUUUUCAACUUUUGACCUCGGAUCAGGUAGGGAUACCCGCUGAACUUAA